GCAUGGAUCAGCUACUGCUGGUCUUAGAUACCAUUGCAGAGUAGCUGGAUGUGCACAGACCUGCUCAGGCGAGUACUAGGUUUCUGCUUCCCAUCGAGGCUGACUCCCAGAAUAACAGUGGUGCUGUGGGAGCACCGCUGUGCUCUGCACCUCGGAGGGGCUGCUGGGGCGACUGGUCGUGCUUGUCACCAAUUAACAGAGAUGGACAUGCAAACGAGGGACACUACUGCUUUUCUUCUUGAGAUAGCACAAGUCAGGCAGGUAGAAAGCUGUUGGCAGCUCCUGCAUUGGCUGUAAGGCAGAAAGCAGCUCUCACUCCACUUCAGAGCACAGAGCUUCGUGUUCUGCUUUAAUUCAGUAAGUCCCAGUUUAUUUAGUUGAGUUUUUUGAUUUAGGAAUCAAUAGUAGCCGAAGUGACUUGGUAUUUUUAAAUGUGAAUCCCUUUUCUUCUCACCUUUCAGGUGUUUGAAGCUCUGAUGACUGCUCUGUGGCAGGAGACAGCUCCAAUCCUACUUCCCUUCUCUACAAGCCUGUUAGCCAAGGGGCCUGCAAGAGGAUGUUUUACAACUUCUGGAAAGUUCUGAAGUCAGAUUGCCGAGUGGGGGCUUAAGGGUGACUGUAGGCAUGCCUGCCUCUCACGAGCAGGGAUGGAAAGACUGCAGGCUUGAGAAUGAAAGGUGGAUGGUGCCUGCUUUGGAGACAUUUCUGUCACUUGUCCAUGCCAGUACUCUGCCUCACUACAGAGAAGAACAUCUUAAUGUCAUGGUGGAAAAUGCCACAAACUUGAUGGUGAGCUCCAGAGACUUUGGGACCCUGCAGUGCUACCUGUGUGCCAAGUUUCCCUUCUAAAUGUCCCUUGUUCUUGGAGUCCUGUGGUUUUAGGAAGCAGAGCAGGAGCCACCCUCCAGUGUCAGCACUGCCCAUGCAGCAGGCAUGGCCAGCCAUGUGCAGGGGAGGUGGCUUUGGUACAGAGGUUGUGGUGAGGGUAAAUUAUGUACUAUUAACACACAAAUGCUUUCCCUAGCCUUGCUAGGGACUUAAUCCCAAGUGCAGUUGUGUUGACAGCUUCCUCUGACUCAAGAUCGGAGGCUAAAGAAAGAAGACAUGUGUCAGGUGGGUUUUUUCUUCUUUCUUUGCAGGUUCUGACUGUGAAUAUAGGACCAGUUUUAAAACAACUGCUGAGUUUGAUGGGGAAUUCCAUGUGUUUUGAACUUUGUGAGACAAUAACUAUUUUGGUAGAUACGUCAUCAUGUUAAAGCUGGGAAACUGCAGUGAACCUGAACGAUCCUUAAAGCUG
rnacentral:lncRNA from 1 species